rnacentral:lncRNA from 1 species
UUGUCUUUUAUAUACUAAUACUCUUUACUUUUCCAAAUUUAGCUAGUUUCCAUGUACAUCGGGAUAAUAUAUUACUAUUGGUUUUACACAAAAUUCCUCUUGACGGCACGGCUUCUACUUCUUGGAUACAACAAAUCGGCCUUCACAGCAUCUUCCACAAAAGCACAAGGCUUGUCCUCCUCAAUUCUCCCAUCUUCCACAAAAGCACAAGGCUUGUCCUCUCACAGCAUCUUCCACAAAAGCACAAGGCUUGUCCUCCUCAAUUCUCCCAAUCUUUCCAACACUAACACUGUAACUCCUAGCCAUUCCAUUCGGCUGCAAUUUUCCAUCUAUGAUUCUCGUUGAUGCUGCACGCAAGAGUUGCCUGAAGUCCUCAUCAUCGACUGCUUUGAUAGAGUUGACACUGUAACUCUUCGACAAGCUCACAGCCGGCGCAGCCAACUCAUUCAUGCCCUUCACGUAAAAAUCUCGAGCCCUACAAAGAAUUUU